CUUUUACACGGAAUGAGAUGACCACAGGUCACGCAGCCUAAACAUCUCACACAACCGUUAUUACCUGUAUUCUUAUUCACCGGCAUAGCUUUGAACCGGAUCAGUCUGGACUAAAAGGUCCCUUAGACUUUUGCUAUUUUUAUAAGAAAACAUCGGUUUGUUGCAGAGACUUUCUGGAAGGCUUUUAUCAUUUUCCAUAAUGUGCCAAUUUUUGGUGAUUG